rnacentral:rRNA from 1 species
AUGUACGCUGCUGUUUGGAGAGCUUGGGCACCCCCUAAAUGCAAACUCUUUGUGUGGCUUGUGAUUCAGAACAGCGUUUGGACCGCGGAUAGGCUUGUUCGUCGCGGAUGGCCCAACUGCGGUCUUUGUCCUCUCUGCAAGCAAGUUCAAGAGACUUCGACACAUCUCCUCUGUCACUGCCGCUUCUCGGUGAGAGUUUGGUGUGCUAUUGUUGAUUGGCUAGGCCUACCGGAUGUCAAACCCCGAGACUGGAGCACGAUGGGUAGCGUCGACGAGUGGUGGAUCGGUGUCUCGCAAGUUAGAGGUCAUUCAAGGAAGGUCAUGUCCUCCAUGCUAAUGUUGAUCUCCUGGGAGCUUUGGAAGGAACGCAAUGGAGGGUCUUCCGCAACACCGCGACUCCUUCAACAAUCAUUGUGCGCAACAUUAAGGAUGAAAUCAAUUUGUGGGUUUUAG